UACGUAGGGGUCGAGCGUUGUCCGGAGUACUGGGCGUAAAGCGCGCGCAGGCGGUCAUUUAAGUCUGGUGUAUAAACCAAGGGCUCAACCUUUGGACGCAUUGGAAACUGGGGUGACUGGAGUGUAGGAGAGGAAAGUGGAAUUCCACGUGUAGCGGUGAAAUGCGUAGAGAUGUGGAGGAACACCAGUGGCGAAGGCGACUUUCUGGCCUAUAACUGACGCUGAGGCGCGAAAGCGUGGGGGAUCAAACAGG
rnacentral:rRNA from 1 species